rnacentral:rRNA from 1 species
AACGAACGCUGGCGGCAGGCCUAACACAUGCAAGUCGAGCGCGCCCUUCGGGGUGAGCGGCGGACGGGUGAGUAACGCGUGGGAACGUGCCCUUUUCUACGGAAUAGCCUCGGGAAACUGAGAGUAAUACCGUAUACGCCCUUUGGGGGAAAGAUUUAUCGGAAAAGGAUCGGCCCGCGUUGGAUUAGGUAGUUGGUGGGGUAAUGGCCUACCAAGCCGACGAUCCAUAGCUGGUUUGAGAGGAUGAUCAGCCACACUGGGACUGAGACACGGCCCAGACUCCUACGGGAGGCAGCAGUGGGGAAUCUUAGACAAUGGGGACAACCCUGAUCUAGCCAUGCCGCGUGAGUGAUGAAGGCCUUAGGGUUGUAAAGCUCUUUCAGCUGGGAAGAUAAUGACGGUACCAGCAGAAGAAACCCCGGCUAACUCCGU